GACGAACGCUGGCGGCGUGCUUAACACAUGCAAGUCGAACGGAAAGGCCCUGCUUUUGUGGGGUGCUCGAGUGGCGAACGGGUGAGUAACACGUGAGUAACCUGCCCUUGACUUUGGGAUAACUUCAGGAAACUGGGGCUAAUACCGGAUAGGAGCUCCUGCUGCAUGGUGGGGGUUGGAAAGUUUCGGCGGUUGGGGAUGGACUCGCGGCUUAUCAGCUUGUUGGUGGGGUAGUGGCUUACCAAGGCUUUGACGGGUAGCCGGCCUGAGAGGGUGACCGGCCACAUUGGGCCUGCGAUACGGCCCAGACUCCUACGGGAGGCAGCAGUGGGGAAUAUUGCGCAAUGGGCGGAAGCCUGAUGCAGCAACGCCGCGUGCGGGAUGACGGCCUUCGGGUUGUAAACCGCUUUCGCCUGUGACGAAGCGUGAGUGACGGUAAUGGGUAAAGAAGCACCGGCUAACUACGUG
rnacentral:rRNA from 1 species